AUCGUCAUCAGGUGAAAACAUAUAGCGGGAGAGCUGCUGAGGCAGGAAAAAUAUUUGGCGGAAGAGCUGCUAAGGCAGGAUGUUAUAAAGGUUUGAGAUGGGUGUAGCCCAAGGGUAAAUGGGCGGGGCUAGAGAUGAAAUUUGCAUGUCAAUGUAAGAUCGGAGAGAACUCGGCAAGAGCCACCGUCACAUCGAGGAAAACGAGCAACGGUAGCUGUGUUAGUGAAUAUAACUCAGAGAGUCGAAAAUGACAGCUUACCAGGUCUGUUUAAUGCCCCUUCAUCCGGCCAACCAACCGCCACUUUAUACACUCUGGCAUGUAAUAACUGGACAGGUAGACUCUAUAGCACCCCUUUUGAAAUCCGCGAGCUCCUCCUUGCAAUCCAUUUUGGGAAGCUCAGCAAGGUAGAAACAUGAAAAUUAACCAUAGACUGACUGUGUUGCUCUUGAGACAAUAGCUGACACAAGCCUAUUUUGAGUGAAUGUAACAGAAUGGGGGAGUGUAAGCGCCAAUAGCCAAUGCCAUGUAUAUCCGGCCACUUGUGUCCAAGCACUGGAUUUUGCAAUCCGCAGGUCACUGGCUCAAGCUUGGGUACGCACACAUCUUCCAAAGGCACAGCACGGGAGACAUUCAUUAGUAUUUGCGACUGUAGCAGUAUGUUCUACGUAAUGCCCCUUCGAUAGAGCCGCAUGUGGUGGUUUAAAGAGCCGCAUGCGGCUAGGGAGACGCCGCUUGUGCCGCUGCUGCUCAAGAGCUUCUUCUUGUGGAGGCUCUUCUGCCAGCAGUGGCGUGAGCGAGCAACAGCAGAGAUGCCUUUUUACCUUUCCGCUGACAUCGCCGCAGUAAACGCCGCGCUGUUAGGAGCGCGGGCAGCGGCUGUGCUGAUGGUACCGCGUUCCUGUGCCCCUCCGUUCCUCCGCAGGGGACUCGGUCUGCCGGGGGGGGGGGUCGUUCUUCUCCGACGCCCCCCCCCCCCCCCACCACCAAAGAAGGUUUCUGUCAUCAGCGCGGCAGGGGCUGCUGCCGUGAAAGUCGAGACGCUGUCAGCUCGCCACUGCGUGUCGCGGCACGGCUCCGGGCGCACCACAUUUCUGCCCCUUGCCCCCUCUGGUCCCUUUCGCCAGCAUCCUUCAGUUCCCACCUUUUAUAUGCGGGAUCCCAAGCAUUUUGACGCUGCAGCGAGCUGCGAAUGAAGCGGGGCACAGAUUAUUUUUUUCUCUCCACAAGAUCGCUUCGCAGCAAAACGGGUGUCCGUCCAGCGACCGCUUUGGAGAGGUAGCGACAACGGAGGUCACAGGGCCGAGUCGAGGAUGACCUCCCCACGGAGCAGCGUUCAGAACCGAAUACUGAUGCACAGUGCAUAUGGCUGCUGUGCAGUGUAAGGUAAAUAUAUCACACUAACGGCUCUGUUGAACGAUGCCAAUUCAUCAUAGGUCCCUGUUGGAAUUUUUUUGGGGGCUUAUGCAAUAAAGAUUUGUUUGUCUUUCUCUCCCUAGCCUCGCUCACUCCCUGCACUCUGUGCUUUGCCCAACGCUGCAUUGCAGUGUUGGGCAACGUCCUCAUUUUAAGAGCCAGCAGGAUGGCUUUAGUGCUCGUGCUUGCAAUGCAAAGGGCAAAAAAAAAAUGCAUUGCAAUGCAAUUCAAAUUGACUCUCACGCAACGUCAACAUACAAAUGCAACUGCAACGAAUGAAGGGACGUGGCAGUGUUGAGACAUCAUGAGAGUGAAGUAAGUAAACUACAGUUGAGAACCCUAAAAGAUACAGACGUGCAACAGUGCAGUGCGCAGUACAAAUUCCGAUAUUCAGAUUGUUCCGAAAAAAUCGGAAAAAUGAGGCCUGAAUAUGAAAUUUCAUGUUUUGUUCAUAUUGCCAUUUCAGAAUGUAAGAAUCAAAAUACAUCUGUUUGCAAUUAUCAGUCUUAUAUUUAAUUUCUAUAUGGAAUGACAAAAGCAAGUCAUGUAUUAUCAGAUAUGACUGUUACACUCAGGAGUGUAAGAGUUACAUUUGCACAGUUAAUUUUAAUAGGUUGAUGUGUCAAUGUUGUUUUUCAACUCAAAAUGGACACUUGGGAUAUGAAUCUCAUAAAAGACAAUAGACCUCAGUUAACCUCCUUACUAUACUGCCGCUUAAAAGCACCCCUUAACUACAAUUGUAGGUUGGUACCGUAGACAUUGCGGUUCCAUCUCCGCGUGAUCCACCAACCCUGCCUCCAAUUCAAUGGCGUUAUGCUCAUGAAUCAGCACCCAGCCAGUGGUCGCAAUGGAUGUGUUCGCAUUGUUUCUCUGACGUAAAUAAAUGAAGUGAGCAUACGGAGAAUGAGAAGGGGUGGGCGCUGGCAGUGCCUGUGACGGAGGGUGCUUCAAACAGAAAAUAGAAUUUUUUUUUAAACCGCACCGUUAGGACAGAUUAGUACGACCGAUACGAACACACAUAGCAAACAAACGGAGGGUAAAUACAUAGGAAUUUUAAAUGCAUCCAUUCACCAUCUGAAUGCCAAUUAUUAAGCAUAGACAGAGUUUCAGCAAAACAGAGCCCCCCCCCCC